rnacentral:rRNA from 1 species
AUUGAACGCUGGCGGCAUGCCUUACACAUGCAAGUCGAACGGCAGCACGGGUGCUUGCACCUGGUGGCGAGUGGCGAACGGGUGAGUAAUACAUCGGAACGUACCUUAUCGUGGGGAUAACGCAGCGAAAGUUGCGCUAAUACCGCAUACGCCCUGAGGGGGAAAGCGGGGGGACCGUAAGGCCUCGCGCGAUUAGAGCGGCCGAUGUCUGAUUAGCUUGUUGGUGAGGUAAAGCUCACCAAGGCGAUGAUCAGUAGCUGGUCUGAGAGGACGAUCAGCCACACUGGGACUGAGACACGGCCCAGACUCCUACGGGAGGCAGCAGUGGGGAAUAUUGGACAAUGGGCGAAAGCCUGAUCCAGCCAUGCCGCGUGUGUGAAGAAGGUCUUCGGAUUGUAAAGCACUUUAAGUUGGGAGGAAGGGUAGUAACCGUAAUACGUUGCUACUUUGACGUUACCGACAGAAUAAGCACCGGCUAC